rnacentral:rRNA from 1 species
GUCACGUACCUCUGUUUGAGGUACAUUUCGUUGGGUAAAUUCAACCAUGCUCAACAUGGUUGAAUUCUGUGAGCACUGUCCAGACUUGGGACCGGGAGAGUUGUGGGGUACGCUCAGGGUAGGGUUAAAAUCCUGUCAUCCUGAGCGGACCACCUGUUGCGAAGGCGCCACAUUAGAACGGAUCCGACGGUCAUGGACGAAGCCUAUGGGUCACGAACCGGUAUUAGAUACCCUGGGUAGUCCUGAGGUGUAAACGUCUGUGUACUUUGGUGUCGGUGGAUCCGUGAAGUGGGUCCUCUGGUGCCUGGAGUGAAGAUUGUUAAGUUCACUGCCUGGGGAGUACGUGUCGCAAGGCUGUACUCAAAGGAAUUGACGG